AUUGAACGCUGGCGGCAUGCUUUACACAUGCAAGUCGAACGGUAACAGGCCUUCGGGUGCUGACGAGUGGCGAACGGGUGAGUAAUGCAUCGGAACGUGCCCAGAGGUGGGGGAUAACGCAGCGAAAGCUGUGCUAAUACCGCAUGUGAUCUGAGGAUGAAAGCGGGGGACCAGGCAGCAAUGUUUGGCCUCGCGCCUUUGGAGCGGCCGAUGUCCGAUUAUGUAGUUGGUGGGGUAAAGGCCUACCAAGCCGACGAUCUGUAGCUGGUCUGAGAGGACGACCAGCCACACUGGGACUGAGACACGGCCCAGACUCCUACGGGAGGCAGCAGUGGGGAAUGUUGGGCAAUGGGCGCAAGCCUGAUCCAGCAAUGCCGCGUGCGGGAAGAAGGCCUUCGGGUUGGAAACCGCUUUUGUACGGAACGAAAAGGCUCUGGCUAAUACCUGGGGCUGAUGACGGUACCGUAAGAAUAAGCACCGGCUAACUACGUG
rnacentral:rRNA from 1 species